rnacentral:rRNA from 1 species
AUUGAACGCUGGCGGCAGGCCUAACACAUGCAAGUCGAACGGUAACAGGAAGCAGCUUGCUGCUUCGCUGACGAGUGGCGGACGGGUGAGUAAUGUCUGGGAAGCUGCCUGAUGGAGGGGGAUAACUACUGGAAACGGUAGCUAAUACCGCAUAAUGUCGCAAGACCAAAGAGGGGGACCUUCGGGCCUCUUGCCAUCGGAUGUGCCCAGAUGGGAUUAGCUUGUUGGUGGGGUAACGGUUCACCAAGGCGACGAUCCCUAGCUGGCCUGAGAGGAUGACCAGCCACACUGGAACUGAGACACGGUCCAGACUCCUACGGGAGGCAGCAGUGGGGAAUAUUGCACAAUGGGCGCAAGCCUGAUGCAGCCAUGCCGCGUGUAUGAAGAAGGCCUUCGGGUUGUAAAGUACUUUCAGCGGGGAGGAAGGGAGUAAAGUUAAUACCUUUGCUCAUUGACGUUACCCGCAGAAGAAGCACCGGCUAACUCCGUG